CGUAGGCGGUAUAGUAAGACUUGGGUGAAAUCUCCAUGCUUAACGUGGAGGGAGCCUGGGAGACUGCUGUGCUAGAGGAUUGGAAGGGAGACUGGAAUUCUUGGAGUAGCAGUGAAAUGCGUAGAUAUCAAGAGGAACACCAGUGGCGAAGGCGAGUCUCUGGACAAGACCUGACGCUGAGGACAAGGCCAGGGGAUCAAACG
rnacentral:rRNA from 1 species